rnacentral:rRNA from 1 species
UACGAAGGGGGCUAGCGUUGCUCGGAAUCACUGGGCGUAAAGGGUGCGUAGGCGGGUUUUUAAGUCAGGGGUGAAAUCCUGGAGCUCAACUCCAGAACUGCCUUUAAUACUGAAGAUCUUGAGUCCGGGAGAGGUGAGUGGAACUGCGAGUGUAGAGGUGAAAUUCGUAGAUAUUCGCAAGAACACCAGUGGCGAAGGCGGCUCACUGGCCCGGUACUGACGCUGAGGCACGAAAGCGUGGGGAGCGAACAGG